UGUAUUAAUUUAGGAGGUCUGGUCCGUGGUCUUUAUUAGUUUAGAAGGUCUGGUCUGGGGUCUGCAUUAGUUUAGAAGGUCUGGUCUGGGACCUGUAUUAGUUUAGGAGGUCUGGUCUGGGGCCUGUAUUAGUUUAGGUGGUCUGGUCUGGAGCCUGUAUUAGUUUUAGUUUAGAAGGUAUGGUCUGGGGCCUGUAUUAGUUUAGGAGGUGAGGUCUGGUCUGGGGUCUGUAUUAGUUUAGAAGUUCUGGUCUGGGGCCUGUAUUAGUUUAGGAGGUCUGCUCUGUGGUUUGUAUUAGUUUAGGAGGUCUGGUCUGGGGUAUGUAUUCGUUUAGGUGGUCUGGUCUGGGGCCUGUAUUAGUUUAGGAGGUCU